rnacentral:rRNA from 1 species
GACGAACGCUGGCGGCGUGCUUAACACAUGCAAGUCGAACGGUAAGGCCUUCGGGUACACGAGUGGCGAACGGGUGAGUAACACGUGGGUGAUCUGCCCUGCACUUUGGGAUAAGCCUGGGAAACUGGGUCUAAUACCGAAUAGGACUACGGCCUGCAUGGGUUGUGGUGGAAAGCUUUUGCGGUGUGGGAUGGGCUCGCGGCCUAUCAGCUUGUUGGGGAGGUCACGGCUCACCAAGGCGACGACGGGUAGCCGGCCUGAGAGGGUGACCGGCCACACUGGGACUGAGAUACGGCCCAGACUCCUACGGGAGGCAGCAGUGGGGAAUAUUGCACAAUGGGCGCAAGCCUGAUGCAGCGACGCCGCGUGAGGGAUGACGGCCUUCGGGUUGUAAACCUCUUUCAGUAGGGACGAAGCGCAAGUGACGGUACCUAUAGAAGAAGGACCGGCCAACUACGUGCCAGCAGCCGCCGUAA